rnacentral:rRNA from 1 species
UACAGAGGGUGCAAGCGUUGUUCGGAAUCACUGGGCGUAAAGCGCGCGUAGGCGGCUUUUCAAGUCAGGGGUGAAAUCCCACAGCUUAACUGUGGAACUGCCUCUGAAACUGUGAAGCUAGAGUGUCGGAGGGGAUAGCGGAAUUCCUAAUGUAGAGGUGAAAUUCGUAGAUAUUAGGAGGAACACCGGUGGCGAAGGCGGCUAUCUGGACGACAACUGACGCUGAGGCGCGAAAGCGUGGGGAUCAAACAGG